rnacentral:misc_RNA from 1 species
UACAUUGAGCCAGUGGGC